GGCUGGUCCGAUGGUAGUGGGUUAUCAGAACUUAUUAACAUUAGUGUCACUAAAGUUGGUAUACAACCCCCCACUGCUAAAUUUGACUGGCCUUAA
ensembl:Y_RNA Y_RNA Y RNA